UUCCAAUCAAUUUGCCUCACUAGU
rnacentral:siRNA from 1 species